GACGAACGCUGGCGGCGUGCCUAAUACAUGCAAGUCGAGCGCAGGAAACUGACGGAGCUCUUCGGAGGGAAGGCAGCGGAAUGAGCGGCGGACGGGUGAGUAACACGUAAGGAACCUGCCUCAAGGAUUGGGAUAACUCCGAGAAAUCGGAGCUAAUACCGGAUAGUUCAACGGACCGCAUGGUCCGCUGAUGAAAGGCGCUUCGGCGUCACCUUGAGAUGGCCUUGCGGUGCAUUAGCUAGUUGGUGGGGUAACGGCCCACCAAGGCGACGAUGCAUGACCGACCUGAGAGGGUGGUAGGCCACGCUGGGACUGAGACACGGCCCAAACUCCUACAGGAGGCAGCAGUAGGGAAUAUUCCACAAUGGACGAAAGUCUGAUGGAGCAACGCCGCGUGAGUGAUGAAGGUUUUCGGAUCGUAAAACUCUGUUGUAAGGGAAGAACACGUACGAGAGGAAAUGCUCGUACCUUGACGGUACCUUACGAGAAAGCCACGGCUAACUACGUGCCAGCAGCCGCGGUAA
rnacentral:rRNA from 1 species